rnacentral:lncRNA from 1 species
CUAAAUUUGUUGAAGUGAAUAUCUGACACCACAUAUGUAUGUUGCAUGAGUAGUCAUUUUUUCAUCAAAAUUUAUUGUUCAAGAUGCAUUGAUAUCUAUGAGGUGUGUUUUGAAUUUUAAUAUUCAAUGUAUACAUAAACAUGCUUUUCUUUUGGAAUUUUAGAAUUUCGUUCUUUAUUCUUAAUUCGUGUAUCUAUUUCACAAAAUGAUGAUAUAUGAUAAGAAUUAUUGAGCGGGAAAAUCUUAAAUUCUAUUUUGGCCAAACAACGUUUUC